UACGUAGGGGGCAAGCGUUGUCCGGAUUUAUUGGGCGUAAAGAGCGUGUAGGCGGCCAGACAAGUCUGCUGUGAAAACUUGAGGCUCAACCUCGAGCUGUCGGUGGAAACUGUCUGGCUAGAGUCCGGAAGAGGAGAGUGGAAUUCCUGGUGUAGCGGUGAAAUGCGCAGAUAUCUGGAGGAACACCGGUGGCGAAGGCGGCGUUCUGGACUGCAACUGACACUGAGGAACGAAAGCCAGGGGAGCAAACGGG
rnacentral:rRNA from 1 species